rnacentral:lncRNA from 1 species
CUUGAAGAAAUGCAUAUCGAUGGUGGAAAUGCAAAGUUGUGGGAGCACAUGAAUAGCAAGAUCCAAACAUGGAUAGACAAUUCAUGCAAAAGAAAUAAGCCAGGAGCGCCAAGUUUUGUGGUAUUACCCACUUUAGAGGGAGUACUUUUCUGUAGUGGUGGUUCUCACUUUCAAUAAUAGUCACCGUACAUACGGAAGCUAUUGUGUCAACCUAUGUAUUGUAUCGUAGGAUAUGUUCUCCGAUCAAUCUUGGGGAUGACCCGAGAGGUUGAGCAAACGAUAAGGAGGUGAACAGAUGGCUAUUCGAGAUCAACUUUUGCUCUGAUAGGUUUUUUUUUUUUU